CGCGGAGUAGAGCAGAUGGGCAGCUCGGCGGUCUCAGUAGCCGCAGAUCGUUGGUUCGAAUCCAACCUCCGCAA
rnacentral:tRNA from 1 species